rnacentral:rRNA from 1 species
UACGUAGGGUGCGAGCGUUGUCCGGAAUUAUUGGGCGUAAAGGGCUCGUAGGCGGUUUGUCGCGUCGGGAGUGAAAACCUCGGGCUUAACUCGGGGCUUGCUUUCGAUACGGGCAGACUAGAGGUAUGCAGGGGAGAACGGAAUUCCUGGUGUAGCGGUGAAAUGCGCAGAUAUCAGGAAGAACACCGGUGGCGAAGGCGGCUCUCUGGAACGGUACUGACGCUGAGACGCGAAAGCGUGGGGAGCGAACAGG